CCAGCGGUAAUAGGAGAGUUCUAUCCUUCUAACCCUAAUGCACAGACCCCUCGCUGCUCUUCAUGCUCGUUGUUUUUCUCGCUGACUUUCAGCGGGCGAAAGAGCAAUGGAAGCUCAGGACUAAAAAACGUCAGCCGUAGGCUUUCCUAUAGCCGCAGGCCUGCCUGUCAGUGUGCGCGGCCUCUGCUCGCAAUGUCCGCAGCGCCUUCCUAUGAGGCCGCAGUCUGCCAAUACCCCGGGCAGCCGCGAAGAGCUCGUCUCUGUCAGCCUUUGGCGCUGCGGCGGAGUGGGGGAGGCCGCUGAUGGCAGCUGAGAAUAAAGCGAGCCCAGCUGCCCCGCUCUGUUCCACUGCCCCUGAGCUGUGGGGUUGGUGAAUUGCAGCAUGGCUCCGACAACU
rnacentral:telomerase_RNA from 15 species